rnacentral:rRNA from 1 species
AAGUAGCAAUACUUUGGUGGCGACCGGCGCACGGGUGAGUAACGCGUAUGCAACCCACUUAUCAGAGGGGAAUAACCCGGCGAAAGUCGGACUAAUACCGCAUAAAACAGGGACACCGCAUGGUGAUAUUUGUUAAAGAAAUUCGCUGAUAGAUGGGCAUGCGUUCCAUUAGGUAGUUGGUGAGGUAACGGCUCACCAAGCCGACGAUGGAUAGGGGAACUGAGAGGUUGGUCCCCCACACUGGUACUGAGACACGGACCAGACUCCUACGGGAGGCAGCAGUGAGGAAUAUUGGUCAAUGGGCGAGAGCCUGAACCAGCCAAGUCGCGUGAAGGAAGAAGGAUCUAUGGUUCGUAAACUUCUUUUGCAGGGGAAUAAAGUGCAGGACGUGUCCUGUUUUGUAUGUACCCUGAGAAUAAGGAUCGGCUAACUCCGUGCCAGCAGCCGCGGUAAUACGGAGGAUCCGAGCGUUAUCCGGAUUUAUUGGGUUUAAAGGGUGCGUAGGUGGUUUGAUAAGUCAGCGGUGAAAGUUUGCAGCUUAACUGUAAAAAUGCCGUUGAAACUGUCGGACUUGAGUGUAAAUGAGGUAGGCGGAAUGCGUGGUGUAGCGGUGAAAUGCUUAGAUAUCACGAAGAACUCCGAUUG